rnacentral:rRNA from 1 species
CUUAAUGAAUUGGCGGGAGCGCGCACAAGCGGUGGAUGAUGUGGUUUGAUUCGAUGCAACGCGAAAAACCUUACCUACCCUUGACAUGCCUGGAACCCUGCAGAGAUGUGGGGGUGCUCGAAAGAGAGCCAGGACACAGGUGCUGCAUGGCCGUCGUCAGCUCGUGUCGUGAGAUGUUGGGUUAAGUCCCGCAACGAGCGCAACCCUUGCCAUUAGUUGCUACGAAAGGGCACUCUAAUGGGACUGCCGGUGACAAACCGGAGGAAGGUGGGGAUGACGUCAGGUCCUCAUGGCCCUUAUGGGUAGGGCUACACACGUCAUACAAUGGCCGGUACAGAGGGCUGCCAACCCGCGAGGGGGAGCCAAUCCCAGAAAACCGGUCGUAGUCCGGAUUGCAGUCUGCAACUCGACUGCAUGAAGUCGGAAUCGCUAGUAAUCGCGGAUCAGAAUGUCGCGGUGAAUACGUUCCCGGCUCUUGCACACACCGCCCG